GGUUGAGAGUGCAGUGGUUUAAGCAUUGGACUAUGACUCUGAAGUCCAGGGUUCAAAUCCCCACUCCGUCA